GACGAACGCUGGCGGCGUGCUUAACACAUGCAAGUCGAACGGAGUGGCGAACGGGUGAGUAACCCGUGGGUGACCUGCCCUGCACUUCGGGAUAAGCCUGGGAAACUGGGUCUAAUACCGGAUAGUGUGGGAUGGGCUCGCGGCCUAUCAGCUUGUUGGUGGGGUAGUGGCCGACCAAGGCGGCGACGGGUAGCCGGCCUGAGAGGGGGGACGGCCACAUGGGGCCUGAGACACGGCCCAGACGCGUACGGGCGGCAUGGGUGGGGAAUAUUGCGCAAUAGGCUGGAGCCUGAUGCAGCGACGUUGGGUGGGGGAUGACGGCUUUCGGGUUAUAAACGCCUUUCACCAUCGACGCGGUAGAUGGAGAAGAAGCACCGGCUAACUACGUGCCAGCAGCCGCGGUAAUUC
rnacentral:rRNA from 1 species